GAGAGAUCUUCAUCACCUGUYCUGUGGAGCUGGUGGUAGAGGGUGAAGWUWCUGUGACAUCACAGCAUAGUGAACCCCUCGGUAUCACCAUAGAUGUUGUAAAUCCUCCAGGAGCUACUAGUUCCCCAUCAGUGUUCAGUGUAAUCAUAACUGGUCAGGAGAAGACAAGCAGCAAUGGCACAGACCAAGGAAGAGUUUCUUCAGGUCCAGGGUUCCUCAUCAUCAUCAGUCUGGGUGCUGGUUCCCUUUUCCUGGUUUUGCUAGCUGGGUCUGUGCUGUGUGUUCUCCAACGCAAGUGUGGGGUUCAAGGCAGGCCUGUAAAUACUGGAAGGCCACCUGAACAGCAAGACCAAACCCCACCUUGUGUCUAUUCUGUCAUCACAAAGCCGUCUAGGGAUGAGGAAGAGGACACUAGUCUGCAAUACGCUACAGUGGCAUCUACUGGUGACCAAGCUAGUAUUCAAUAUGCAACAGUGAAAUCUACCGGUAACCAAGAUGGACCUGGGCGCACCAAGAUCAAGUUUGAAAUAGCUGGAGAGUACGCCCUCUUAGCAGAAUCAUAGAAGAAGAAACAUUUACUGGAUAACAUUUUUUGACAUAGUUUACAGUUAUAAUCCUAUCUUUCUUUCUUUCUUCAUAUUGGAUCAUAAUUUACUCAUAGUACAAAAAAAUACUGCCACAACAACAAAGACUAAAGAUAUCUACUCCUUUCUGAAAACAAGCAGCUUCAACUAUUUGCAUUUUAGGUUCGAUUAAAUAAAUGAAAAAUAAACUUUGUCUGAAACGUAAAAUAAAUAUUUUCCUAAAUUGAGUUACCCAAUCUAGUCAGCAGUCAACAAUCAGUAGUCACCAAUCUAUUUCCCUCCUUGACAAGAGUCAAUAGAGACUCAAAGCCACAAGAAGGUAGAACAAAUGUCAAACUUUGCUUGUUAAAUCUCUACUUCUCUCUCUCCGUUUCUGAUCUCUCGCUCUCUACAUCUCUCUCUUUAACCAUAUCUGGUGUAUAUUAGU